rnacentral:rRNA from 1 species
AGCGAACGCUGGCGGCAGGCCUAACACAUGCGAGUCGAACGAACUCUUCGGAGUUAGUUGCGGACGGGUGAGUAACACGUGGGAACGUGCCUUUUGGUUCGGAAUAACUCAGGGAAACUUGUGCUAAUACCGAAUGUGCCCUUCGGGGGAAAGAUUUAUCGCCAUUAGAGCGGCCCGCGUCUGAUUAGCUAGUUGGUGAGGUAACGGCUCACCAAGGCGACGAUCAGUAGCUGGUCUGAGAGGAUGACCAGCCACACUGGGACUGAGACACGGCCCAGACUCCUACGGGAGGCAGCAGUGGGGAAUCUUGCGCAAUGGGCGAAAGCCUGACGCAGCCAUGCCGCGUGAAUGAUGAAGGUCUUAGGAUUGUAAAAUUCUUUCACCGGGGACGAUAAUGACGGUACCCGGAGAAGAAGCCCCGGCUAACUUCGUG